GAUGAAGAACGUAGCGAAAUGCGAUAAGUAGUGUGAAUUGCAGAAUUCAGUGAAUCAUCGAAUCUUUGAACGCACAUUGCGCCCUUUGGUAUUCCUUAGGGCAUGCCUGAUCGAGCGUCAUUUAAACCUUCAAGCUAAGCUUGGUGUUGGGUGACUGUCCGCUUCACGGCGGACUCGCCUCAAAAUUAUUGGCGGCCGGUACAUUGGCUUCGAGCGCAGCAGAAACGCGAACUCGGGCCCGUCGUAUUGGCUCCCAGAAGCUAUCUUCACAAUUUUGACCUCGGAUCAGGUAGGGAUACCCGCUGAACUUAAGCAUAUCAAUAAGCGGAGGA
rnacentral:misc_RNA from 1 species